rnacentral:rRNA from 1 species
UACGUAGGGUGCAAGCGUUGUCCGGAAUUAUUGGGCGUAAAGAGCUCGUAGGCGGUCUGUCGCGUCGGCUGUGAAACUCGGGGCUCAACUCCGAGCUGCAGUCGAUACGGGCAGGCUAGAGUUCGGCAGGGGAGACUGGAAUCCUGGUGUAGCGGUGAAAUGCGCAGAUAUCAGGAGGAACACCGGUGGCGAAGGCGGGUCGCUGGGCCGAUACUGACGCUGAGGAGCGAAAGCGUGGGGAGCGAACAGG